rnacentral:rRNA from 1 species
GACGAACGCUGGCGGCGUGCCUAAUACAUGCAAGUAGAACGCUGGAGGAGGAGCUUGCUUCUCUGGAUGAGUUGCGAACGGGUGAGUAACGCGUAGGUAACCUGCCUGGUAGCGGGGGAUAACUAUUGGAAACGAUAGCUAAUACCGCAUAACAGUAGAUAUCGCAUGAUAUCUACUUGAAAGGUGCAAUUGUAUCACUACCAGUUGGACCUGCGUUGCAUUAGGUAGUUGGUGAGGUAACGGCUCAACAAGGCGACGAUACAUAGCCGACCUGAGAGGGUGAUCGGCCCACCUGGGAACGAGACACGGCCCAGAAUCCUACGGGAGGGAGCAGUAGGGGAACUUCGGCAAUGGGGGGAAGGCUGAACGAGCAACGCCGCGGUAGGGAAGAAGGGUCUCGGGUCGUAAAGCUCUGUUGUAAGAGAAGAAAGAGUGUGAGAGUGGAAAGUUCACACUGUGACGGUACCUUACCAGAAAGGGACGGCUAACUACGUG